AUAGACAUGGUCGACGCGGCUCAAAGUGUAGUAUCUGUUCUUAUUAGCUUAAUAUCUGACACAGGUUGUAUUUGGACCCAAGAUAUGUAACUUAUUUUUGCCAGUUGGCGAAGUGCUUGAUGCCUACUUCACCUCCGCCGCGAGUCGGCCAGCAUUGCACGAUCUUCGGGAUCGGCCCGCGUUUU